rnacentral:rRNA from 1 species
CCCUUAGAUGUUCUGGGCCGCACGCGCGCUACACUGACGAAGUCAGCGAGCAUGUCCUACGCCGACAGGUGCGGGGAAUCUUGUCAAACUUCGUCGUGAUGGGGAUUGAUUAUUGAAAUUCUUGAUCAUCAACGAGGAAUUCCUAGUAAGCGCAAGUCAGCAGCUUGCGUUGAUUACGUCCCUGCCCUUUGUACACACCGUCCGUCGCUACUACCGAUUGAAUGGUUUAGUGAGAUCUUCGGAUUGGCGCCACUGCGGCUCAGCAAUGGGCUCGGUGGAUGCCGAAAAGUUGAUCAAACUUGAUCAUUUAGAGGAAGUAAAAGUCGUAACA